CAGAGGUUGGAAGUUCUGACUCAGGCUCAGGCUGUGUGCGUCUAUGCAGCUGUCUGUGAUCCGCAGCCAGACGAGCAGGUACCCAAUGGUUCCCUGUUUGCUCUUCAUUGUUGCCCUGUCUCCUUUGGGAUGGGCCAUCCGUCAGCCGCCAGACAUGGUGGUCAUUCUGGGAAAGCCACUGACACUGAACUGCUCUCUAUCAGAAACAACCCAACUGAUGACCAUUUACUGGUACAAGCAGGCCAUGGGGAAGGACGCAAGGCUGCAGCUUGUCAUGUUUUCUACAGAAGGCUCUAGUGCAAAUGUUGAGAAGCCAUUUGAAGGUCACUUCCAGAGCAAUGGGACAAAAAACUAUGUCCUGUCUCUGUAUGCAGAGAGUGCCCAGAUGCAAGAUUCAGGCACAUAUUACUGUGCUAAGCAAGAUCACACAUCUCUCCCCCAUUACAAAUUAAGGGCCUGGUCUCAAGGCUGUUUCCUGGUGACAUCUGUGAACCACAAAGUCAGUUUUUCCCUGGAGUACAACAAUUCCAGCCCCAGGGACAGCACCAAUGACUUCUGCCUUGCAGGGAGCCAUAGUGCAGGAGACAACAGGGCCACAGUAUGA